rnacentral:rRNA from 1 species
UACGUAGGGGGCAAGCGUUGUCCGGAUUUAUUGGGCGUAAAGAGCGUGUAGGCGGCCGUACAGGUCAGCUGUGAAAACUCGAGGCUCAACCUCGAGACGUCGGUUGAAACCGUACGGCUAGAGUCCGGAAGAGGAGAGUGGAAUUCCCGGUGUAGCGGUGAAAUGCGCAGAUAUCGGGAAGAACACCCGUGGCGAAGGCGGCUCUCUGGGACGGUACUGACGCUGAGACGCGAAAGCGGUGGGAGCGAACAGG